rnacentral:rRNA from 1 species
GUGUCAGCCGCCGCGGUAAUACGUAGGGGGCAAGCGUUGUCCGGAAUCAUUGGGCGUAAAGCGCGUGUAGGCGGUUCAGUAAGUCUGCUGUGAAAGUCCAGGGCUCAACCCUGGGAUGCCGGUGGAUACUGCUGGACUAGAGUGCGGAAGAGGCGAGUGGAAUUCCCGGUGUAGCGGUGAAAUGCGCAGAUAUCGGGAGGAACACCAAUUGCGAAGGCAGCUCGCUGGGACGUUACUGACGCUGAGACGCGAAAGCGUGGGGAGCAAACAGGAUUAGAUACCCCUGUAGUCC